rnacentral:rRNA from 1 species
UGGCAACGGGUGAGUAACACUGGGUGAUCUGCCCUGCACUCUGGGAUAAGCCUGGGAAACUGGGUCUAAUACCGGAUAGGACCAUGCUUUAGUGUGUGUGGUGGAAAAGUUUUUUCGGUGUAGGAUGAGCCCGCGGCCUAUCAGCUUGUUGGUGGGGUAAUGGCCUACCAAGGCGGCGACGGGUAGCCGGACUGAGAGGUUGGUCGGCCACAUUGGGACUGAGAUACGGCCCAG